rnacentral:lncRNA from 1 species
UUAAUCCUUUCCACUCAUUUUUUACAGGUCAUUUUGAAAUUAGGCGGUUAAAAAAUUAACCUAUCGUCAGCAGGGCAAGAGAGUGGAAUAGGUUUGAAGAAAGUAUAUGAACCUCACAUUUCCUGAUGGCAUUUCUAAAAGUAACAAGAAAGAGUCUAGAAAGAGUUGAUCUCUUUUAUACAAUACAGCUGUCUAUGGAGGGAGAAUUACAAAAAGGAAGGAGUGGAGGUCCAUAUUUAACAAGUUAGUUGGGAUUCUACUGCUUAAGCCUGGCGAAUCAUGAAACCUAGAAAAAAUAGGAGCAUAUAAGAAAAAGCGUGGGAAGCGAGAAUGAUCAUCUCCUUAACAUCUCUAUCCCCUCGAUGAAGACGUUUCAAAGCUCCAAUGCUUAAG